rnacentral:lncRNA from 1 species
CGAGGGCUAAGCCUGGUCACAGACAUCUCCGCAUUUGUUUCUCUGCAAAUGGGCUCCUUGCCCCCAGCUCCACCCCACGUAGAGAUAGGCACAAAUAGAGUUAAGAUGUGAGUUGAGUGAGCACACACUCCUCGUAAGCCACUUGUCAUUCCUAAACUACGACAUCUCAGGCUGCCAGCUGCACUGGGCUCCAGUCAGUGACACCUUACAGGCAUGGUUCUCUCCUGAGCUGGAUGGAUCAGCACCUAUCUUGUUUGAUUCCUCUCACAGGGUCUGGGGGUGGUGGCAUCUCCCCUAAAGGAAGUGGUCCCUCUGUGGCAAGUGAUGAAGUCUCCAGCUUUGCCUCAGCUCUCCCAGACAGAAAGACUGCGUCCUUUUCGUCGUUGGAACCCCAGGAUCAGGAGGAUUUGGAGCCCGUGAAGAAGAAAAUGAGAGGAGAUGGGGACCUUGACCUGAACGGGCAGUUGUUGGUCGCACAACCGCGUAGAAAUGCCCAAACCGUCCACGAGGACGUCAGAGCAGCGGCUGGGAAGCCAGACAAGAUGGAGGAGACGCUGACAUGCAUCAUCUGCCAGGACCUGCUGCAC